rnacentral:rRNA from 1 species
UUGUUGAGGUGAUAAGGUCUCCCACAGGGGAUGAUGCUGUUGUCCGACCUCCUGAGGGGGGUUCUGCGCCCACUUGGAAAUGUGACACCGUGUCCGAGUCUUCUUGGGAGAGCGGCAGCUGUGGGAAUAUUUUUGCACAAGUGGGAGAGACCCGAUGCAGCAAACACCGCCGUGAGAGAUGAAGAGCGCUUUGAGUGUUAUAAGAUCUGUGCUUAUGUGGGAAAUAUAAUCGGGUGUCCCUAUAUGAGGAGCCCCAGGGUAAAUAUAUGUGCACCACAGCGCGCUGUUAUGUAUAGGUGCAAGAGUGUUCUCGGAAUUUCUGGGGGUAUAAGGUAUGUGUAGGGUUUCUUAUGUCUCAGGUGUAAAAUUCCGGCUCUCAACGUAGUGAGCCUCAUAAGAAUGGUGAAUGUGUAGAUAGCAGAAGAAAGAGGAAUUAUUCAGUGGAGCGGUGAAGUACGUAGUUAUUAUUAGGAACACCACCAGUGAAGAAGACUUUUUUGUGUACAAUAAACGAUGAUGCAGCAUAGAGUGGUGAGCAGCCAGCAUGAUUUACCACCGUAGUACUCCAUGCAAUCAAUGAUUAAUAGUUGUUGUAUGUCGUAUGUACGCGCUGUGGUUAGCACUUUACAUAAUAAGUAUUGGGCGUACGGUGUCCAGUCUCAAAAUUAAAAGUAUUGGGAAUGACCGGCACAAGUCGCAGACCAUGUAGCAUGAUUUGUAGUUAGGAGCAAAACGUUGCACAUGACUUAGAUUCGUCUUCCCAGCCAUUACCUGUAAUCAUGUUAUUCGUUAGGGACAGGGAGCCGGGUGGGCCUGGGUGUUGUUAAGUUGGGUUGUUGGGUGGUGGGUUUAGUUCCGCAAAGAAGGCCACCCCUAUUCUUUAUUUGCUUCCGUUAAGUUGGGCACUCUAGUAAGACUGCCGGGGUUAACUGGGAGGAAGGUGGGGAUGACGUCAAAUCAUCAUGCCCCUUAUGUUUAGGGCUACACACGUGCUACAAUGGUUGUUACAAUAAGAUGCGAGACCGCGAGGUGGAGCUAAUCUCAUAAAAACAAUCUAAGUGCGGAUUGUAGGCUGAAACUCGCCUACAUGAAGC